UGCAGAAUCCCGCGAACCAUCGAGUCUUUGAACGCAAGUUGCGCCUGAGGCCUCCCGACUAAGGGCACGCUUGCCUUGGUGUCACGC
rnacentral:rRNA from 1 species